GUGGGGAAUAUUGGACAAUGGGGGAAACCCUGAUCCAGCGACGCCGCGUGAGUGAAGAAGUAUUUCGGUAUGUAAAGCUCUAUCAGCAGGGAAGAAAAUGACGGUACCUGACUAAGAAGCCCCGGCUAACUACGUGCCAGCAGCCGCGGUAAUACGUAGGGGGCAAGCGUUAUCCGGAUUUACUGGGUGUAAAGGGAGCGUAGACGGCACUGCAAGUCUGGAGUGAAAGCCCGGGGCUCAACCCCGGGACUGCUUUGGAAACUGUGGUGCUGGAGUGCAGGAGAGGUAAGUGGAAUUCCUAGUGUAGCGGUGAAAUGCGUAGAUAUUAGGAGGAACACCAGUGGCGAAGGCGGCUUACUGGACUGUAACUGACACUGAGGCUCGAAAGCGUGGGGAGCAAACAGGAUUAGAAACCCUGGUAGUCC
rnacentral:rRNA from 1 species